UGCAGUAAGUACUUCCUUGGGUC
rnacentral:piRNA from 1 species